CACUUCGCUCUAUGGUUGCUGGUGCUGAGAAAUGCCUCGAUGACAUUUUCAUUGUUAAAAAUGGACUAUGGAAACAAGAUCAGUCAACAUGUGUGAGUGCACCUUCACCAAUCCCACAAAUGCCUCUGCUCUCACGAAUUUAUUACCCUUGGGAGAGCCUCCGCAAGACAGUACUUGAUGCAUUGGAAGCAGACAAUGUUCUGCUUCCCUCUCAACGACAGGAAGUGGCACACAUGGCAGCGUCAUGGCCCUGCAUAUCCAUUGAAGGCACCUGGUUGGUAUCAUUGAAAAUGAAGGGAGCCAGCAGGCAGAAAAAAAUCAAGAGGGCUACAUACAUAAAUGCGUAAGGCAAUGAGGGCCGCAGAUGAAUAUAGCAAGAAGUGG